rnacentral:rRNA from 1 species
AGUGAACGCUGGCGGUAGGCCUAACACAUGCAAGUCGAACGGCAGCAUAGUAAGAGCUUGCUCUUACGGGUGGCGAGUGGCGGACGGGUGAGGAAUACAUCGGAAUCUACUUUUUCGUGGGGGAUAACGUAGGGAAACUUACGCUAAUACCGCAUACGACCUACGGGUGAAAGCGGGGGAUCUUCGGACCUUGCGCGAUUGAAUGAGCCGAUGUCGGAUUAGCUAGUUGGCGGGGUAAAGGCCCACCAAGGCGACGAUCCGUAGCUGGUCUGAGAGGAUGAUCAGCCACACUGGAACUGAGACACGGUCCAGACUCCUACGGGAGGCAGCAGUGGGGAAUAUUGGACAAUGGGCGCAAGCCUGAUCCAGCCAUACCGCGUGGGUGAAGAAGGCCUUCGGGUUGUAAAGCCCUUUUGUUGGGAAAGAAAAGCAGCAGGUUAAUACCCCGCUGUUCUGACGGUACCCAAAGAAUAAGCACCGGCUAACUUCGUG